AGGGCCAAUGAGGAACAUGUGUUAUGAACCAAAGAUAACAAUUACUCCUGAUACACCUAAAUGUUGUCCAGA
rnacentral:snoRNA from 1 species